CCAACGAGGGCAUCCGGAGAAGUUGCUCUCUCCAGGCUCUGCCCGUGUGGCGCAAGGGAGCGUAGGCCCUUCGGGGCCCAUGACGUAGAGUCCCAUUCCACGACGUUGGAGAUCAAGCCGGGCCCUCCGGUCUGCAGCCUGCAUAUUCCUACUGCUUCUCUGAGCCCUUGGGCAGUGUCAGAGGAGAUAAACCAUGCAGGAAACAGCU